AGAGUUUGAUCCUGGCUCAGGAUGAACGCUGGCGGCGUGCUUAACACAUGCAAGUCGAACGAAGCACUUUAUUAUGAUUUCUUCGGAAUGACGAUUUAGUGACUGAGUGGCGGACGGGUGAGUAACGCGUGGGUAACCUGCCUUAUACAGGGGGGAUAACAGUUAGAAAUGACUGCUAAUACCGCAUAAGCGCACAGGAUUGCAUGAUCUGGUGUGAAAAACUCCGGUGGUAUAAGAUGGA
rnacentral:rRNA from 1 species